UUUUGGCAAAAAAGUACUAAAUUUGCUAUUAACUGCUACUUUUGAUUUCUGAUGGAACAGGCACCCACCAGCACAUUGGGUAAAAGAUGUCCCUAUGCAUAAGCUAGAGCAAGAGUAGGCAGCCUUCAGCACUCCACAAGUUGUGGACUACAUCUUCCAUGAUGCUUUGCCAGCAUCAUGACUCUAAGAACACUAUGGGAGAUGUACAGUCAUG